rnacentral:rRNA from 1 species
AAUCGGACCAGCCGAUGGAUUUGAUUGUAAGAACUAGAACAGCGUGGGAAAGCUGACCGAAGAUGGUGAUAGUCCAGUAUAGGUAGAAAGCAAUUAAGUUCUUGAGUAGGGCGGAGCACGAGAAAUUCUGUCUGAAAAUGGGGAGACCACUCUCCAAGGCUAAGUACUACUGAGUGACCGAUAGUGAACAAGUACCGUGAGGGAAAGGUGAAAAGCACCCCUAUAAGGGGAGUGAAAAAGAACCUGAAACCGGAUGCCUACAAGCAGUCGGAGGAGCAUUAGGCUCUGACGGCGUACCUUUUGUAUAAUGGGUCAGCGACUUAAUUUAUGUAGCAAGCUUAAGCCGAUAGGUGUAGGCGCAGCGAAAGCGAGUGUUAAUAGCGCGUUAAGUUACAUGGAUUAGACCCGAAACCGAGUGAUCUAGCCAUGAUCAGGUUGAAGGUUGGGUAACACCAACUGGAGGACCGAACCCACUCCCGUUGAAAAGGUAGGGGAUGAAUUGUGGCUAGGGGUGAAAGGCCAAUCAAACUCGGAAAUAGCUGGUUCUCCGCGAAAACUAUUUAGGUAGUGCGGCAAGCGGACACGUUGAGGGGUAGAGCACUGAAAGAGCUAAGGGGGAGCGAUCCUUACUAAACUUUAUCAAACUCCGAAUACUCAACAGUGAUACUUGCCAGACAGACUGUAGGUGCUAAGGUCUACGGUCGAGAGGGAAAGAGCCCAGACCGCCAAUUAAGGUCCCAAAAUUAUGGCUAAGUGGUAAAGGAAGUGAAUUGUCCAAAACAGUCAGGAGGUUGGCUUAGAAGCAGCCAUCCUUUAAAGAAAGCGUAAUAGCUCACUGAUCUAAACAAGACGAUUUGCGCCGAAGAUGUAACGGGGCUAAAGCCAUAUACCGAAGUUGCGGAAUUGCACGUAAGUGCAAUUGGUAGCGGAGCGUUCUGUAAGCCUGCGAAGGUGUUCCGUAAGGAAUGCUGGAGGUAUCAGAAGUGAGAAUGCUGACAUGAGUAGCGAAAAGAAGUGUGAGAGACACUUCCGCUGAAAGUCCAAGGUUUCCUGCGUAAAGCUAAUCUGCGCAGGGUUAGUCGGCCCCUAAGGCGAGGCAGAGAUGCGUAGUCGAUGGGAAUCAGGUUAAUAUUCCUGAACCAACUAGGAAGUGACGGAUUCAGUAAAUUGUAUGUCCUUAUUGGAUUGGAUGUGCAGUGAAUGAGUCCCGGGAAAUAGCCCUAGUAUAGACCGUACCCGAAACCGACACAGGUGGACAGGUAGAGAAUACCAAAGCGCUUGAGAGAACUAUGUUGAAGGAACUAGGCAAAAUACUUGCGUAACUUCGGGAUAAGCAAGCCCCAUUUCUGGGCAACCAGAGGUGGGGGGCACAUACUAGGGGGUAGCGACUGUUUACUAAAAACACAGGGCUCUGCUAAAUUGAAAGAUGAAGUAUAGGGUCUGACGCCUGCCCGGUGCUGGAAGGUUAAGGAGAGAUGUGCAAGCAUUGAACUGAAGCCCCAGUAAACGGCGGCCGUAACUAUAACGGUCCUAAGGUAGCGAAAUUCCUUGUCGGGUAAGUUCCGACCUGCACGAAUGGCGUAACGACUUCCCCGCUGUCUCCAACAUAGACUCAGCGAAAUUGAAUUCUGAGUUAAGAUGCUCAGUACCCGCGGUUAGACGGAAAGACCCCGUGAACCUUUACUAUAGCUUUGCAGUGGUAUUAGGUGACAAAUGUGUAGGAUAGGUGGGAUGCUAUGAAGUUAUGACGCUAGUUGUAAUGGAGCAGACGUUGAAAUACCACCCUUUUGUUAUUUGAUAUCUAACCUGCUUCCGUUAUCCGGAAGAGGGACCCUGCAUGGUGGGUAGUUUGACUGGGGCGGUCGCCUCCCAAAGAGUAACGGAGGCGCGCAAAGGUUGGCUCAGAUUGGUCGGAAAUCAAUCGUUGAGUGCAAUGGCAUAAGCCAGCCUGACUGCGAGAGCGACAGUUCGAGCAGAGACGAAAGUCGGUCAUAGUGAUCCGGUGGUCCCGAGUGGAAGGGCCAUCGCUCAACGGAUAAAAGGUACUCCGGGGAUA